GAAUUGACGGGGGCCCGCACAAGCGGUGGAGCAUGUGGUUUAAUUCGAAGCAACGCGAAGAACCUUACCAGGUCUUGACAUCCUUUGACCACUCUAGAGAUAGAGCUUCCCCUUCGGGGGCAAAGUGACAGGUGGUGCAUGGUUGUCGUCAGCUCGUGUCGUGAGAUGUUGGGUUAAGUCCCGCAACGAGCGCAACCCUUAUUGUUAGUUGCCAUCAUUCAGUUGGGCACUCUAGCAAGACUGCCGGUGACAAACCGGAGGAAGGUGGGGAUGACGUCAAAUCAUCAUGCCCCUUAUGACCUGGGCUACACACGUGCUACAAUGGGAAGUACAACGAGUUGCGAAGUCGCGAGGCUAAGCUAAUCUCUUAAAGCUUCUCUCAGUUCGGAUUGCAGGCUGCAACUCGCCUGCAUGAAGCCGGAAUCGCUAGUAAUCGCGGAUCAGCACGCCGCGGUGAAUACGUUCCCGGGCCUUGUACACACCGCCCGUCACACCACGAGAGUUUGUAACACCCGAAGUCGGUGAGGUAACCUUUUUGGAGCCAGCCGCCUAAGGUGGGAUAGAUGAUUGGGGUGAAGUCGUAACAAGGUAGCCGUAUCGGAAGGUGCGGCUG
rnacentral:rRNA from 1 species